AGAGUUUGAUCCUGGCUCAGGAUGAACGCUAGCGGCAGGCUUAACACAUGCAAGUCGAGGGGCAGCGGGGAGUAGCAAUACUCCGCCGGCGACCGGCGCACGGGUGCGUAACGCGUAUGCAACCUACCUUUAACAGGGGCAUAACACUGAGAAAUUGGUACUAAUUCCCCAUAAUAUUCGGAGAGGCAUCUCUCCGGGUUGAAAACUCCGGUGGUUAUAGAUGGACAUGCGUUGUAUUAGCUAGUUGGUGAGGUAACGGCUCACCAAGGCAACGAUACAUAGGGGGACUGAGAGGUUAACCCCCCACACUGGUACUGAGACACGGACCAGACUCCUACGGGAGGCAGCAGUGAGGAAUAUUGGUCAAUGGACGCAAGUCUGAACCAGCCAUGCCGCGUGCAGGAAGACGGCUCUAUGAGUUGUAAACUGCUUUUGUACGAGGGUAAACGCACCUACGUGUAGGUGACUGAAAGUAUCGUACGAAUAAGGAUCGGCUAACUCCGUGCCAGCAGCCGCGGUAAUACGGAGGAUUCAAGCGUUAUCCGGAUUUAUUGGGUUUAAAGGGUGCGUAGGCGGUUUGAUAAGUUAGAGGUGAAAUACCGGUGCUUAACACCGGAACUGCCUCUAAUACUGUUGAACUAGAGAGUAGUUGCGGUAGGCGGAAUGUAUGGUGUAGCGGUGAAAUGCUUAGAGAUCAUACAGAACACCGAUUGCGAAGGCAGCUUACCAAACUAUAUCUGACGUUGAGGCACGAAAGCGUGGGGAGCAAACAGGAUUAGAUACCCUGGUAGUCCACGCAGUAAACGAUGAUAACUCGUUGUCGGCGAUACACAGUCGGUGACUAAGCGAAAGCGAUAAGUUAUCCACCUGGGGAGUACGUUCGCAAGAAUGAAACUCAAAGGAAUUGACGGGGGCCCGCACAAGCGGAGGAACAUGUG
rnacentral:rRNA from 1 species